rnacentral:rRNA from 1 species
AUUUUCUUUAAAUUUAAAGAAUUUGGCGGUGGUUUAGUCUAGAUCAGAGGAACCUGCUUUUAUUAUCGAUAAAACACGUAAAAUCUUACUUAUUUUUGUUUAGUUUGUAUACCAUCAUUAGCAGAUGAUUUUAUAAAAAAUGGAAUUUUUAAAAAUAAUUGUUUAAUAAAAUUAGAUCAAGGUGCAGCUAAUAAAUAAGUUGAAGUGGGUUACAAUAAGAUUUACUUAAAACGGAAUAAGAUUAGAAUUUUUCUUAGAAAGGAGGAUUUGAUUGUAAUAUAAAUUUAAUAAGUUUAGGAGAUAAGAGCUCUAAAUUGCGUACACAUCGCC